GGACGGCCUUCAAGAAGCUGCGGGUGGACGCGGCGCGCAGAUGGAUCGCGGCUCAGCCUGUGGGCGACGGGACGGUUCUCACGGCGCCGAGGAGAAGAGCUGCAGAUGGAGCCCAGCAACCGUCCGUCUGCUGCCAGGAAGCACGGAAUGGGUAAAACACACCGUCAGCUGCACCCCACGUUUGUUCUGCUUUCGGUCACUUAAAACUUGCUCGCUGUUGCCAGUGAGAGUUCUCACGCAAG